AGCGAACGCUGGCGGCAGGCCUAACACAUGCAAGUCGAGCGCCCAGCAAUGGGAGCGGCAGACGGGAGAGUAACACGUGGGAACGUGCCCUUCAGUUCGGAACAACCAAGGGAAACUUUGGCUAAUACCGGAUACGUCCGAAAGGAGAAAGAUUUAUCGCUGAAGGAGCGGCCCGCGUCUGAUUAGCUAGUUGGUGAGGUAAUGGCUCACCAAGGCGACGAUCAGUAGCUGGUCUGAGAGGAUGAUCAGCCUCACUGGGACUGAGACACGGCCCAGACUCCUACGGGAGGCAGCAGUGGGGAAUAUUGGACAAUGGGCGCAAGCCUGAUCCAGCCAUGCCGCGUGGAUGAUGAAGGCCCUAGGGUUGUAAAGUCCUUUCGUUGGGGAAGAUAAUGACGGUACCCAAAGAAGAAGCCCCGGCUAACUUCGUGCCAGCAGCCGCG
rnacentral:rRNA from 1 species